AGUGAGUUGACUGAGUUGGUCGAAAGUACCGGUUUUGAAAACCGGCGAGGUUCACGCCUCCUAGGGUUCGAAUCCCUAACUCACUGCCA
rnacentral:tRNA from 2 species